UCAGUGGUGUGACAGUGAGUGACAGACGUCCUUGAAACCUGCUAGCAACCCUCACACUCUCGAGAAGGUAGAACAGGACACCGUAGCCGCUCUGGGCACUAGGGUGGGGACACAGCUGAGCCUCUGCUCCAUUCCUGCUGCUGGGAAGCUCACUGCCCAAGCCUGGUGUCCCUUGACAUGCUCCCAGGGGACAAGCCAGUCACCAGCCCAGCGGGACUCAGGAGUCCACCCCUCAGGAGCAGUAGUCACGAUAAGAGAUAAGCAUGGCCAGAUGCAGACUCUGGGAACAGUUUCACGUGCUUAUUCCUGGGUCUCCAGCAGCUGGAGGGUGCCUGGUGGGUGUGGACGCUGGGUGAGUAGUGGCUCCGUGGCAUGCCUGGGAGUCACGUGCCAGUCUGCGCUCAGUGCUCACAUGCUUAGAGGAACGAUGGAGCGGAUGGCCCAUUGUGAGGUCCCAGGCAGAGGUACUUCUGGCCCCACCCUUAGUAUCUCUCAGAUCACAGGGAGUGACUUUCACCCCUGGUUCCUGUGCGUGCCCACCCACUCUCCCCUUUGCCUUCUUGGUCUGUUCCCAUGCAAACUCAGCAGGAGGAUGUGGGUCUCAGCUGGGCAGCUGGAGUGAUCUGUGGAGCGAGGCCUGCCUGCACACGGGCUUGCUGGGCUGGGUGAGCUGCUGCAGGAGCAGGGCCAGUGCUUGCUCCCCUUGGGCUCCCUGCGGCCUUCCUUUUCUCCUGGUGGAGCUGGGUUAGCAGCAGGAGCCUCAGGGACACUUCUCACAGGACAUGGAGAGGCCUUGGGGAUGAGGGUCGACCUGGAGUGUAGCAGCUCCCGGCCGCCCUGCAGGAUGCGCAGGGGCUGGGGUCCGGCCCUUGUGGCCAAGUGCUGGAUGGGUGGCUCCACUGAGCCCCAGCUCUGUGCUGCCCACAGCUCCGAGGAGGGACUGGCACAGCGUGUGGCUUCCUUGGGAUGACAGAUACCUGAGUUUCUAGGUUUUACUUCUGAUUAUGCAAAUAAACACUCAGGCAGGGACGUGCAGAGGUGCUGGAGUUAUCUCAAAAACCAUGAGUGCCUCUGUGAUUCCCGCCAGCGUCUGACUGUGUCAUGCUCAUGACGUGGCCAAGUAUUUUUUUCCCAUUAUCACUUGUAUCUUGAAGAGCAGCAUUUUCCAAAUUUUUCCCCAAAUCAUAAGUUGUAAAAGAUGCCACAUUAAAACAAUGCUGCUGAUAGGUAAGUUUUGGGGACAACUUCAUUUUAAUUCACCCUCUCAGAGAUUUCCGAAGCUCAUUAGCAUAUUAAAUCCCAAAGGCGUAUUUAGUAAGUCUCCUUGGCUAACUUACAGUGUCCGGCUUGCAUGACCAGAGGAACUCCAUAUUUCUUCCCGGUAGUGCCCUCAUGUCUGGGGCCACCCACCCUGGAGGACCAAGUGCUUGUGUAUUUGAUUUCCUUCUGGUGCUGGAUGGAACCUCCAUGGCCCCCAGCCAGGCCCGGCCCCUCCUUCAGCAGCAAGUCUGGUGGCUUCUCCGCCCUGGUGCUCCUCCACGCCCCUGCAGCUGUUCUGUCAUCAUCAGUCCUGAGUGCGGGGUGGCUCGGGGCCGGGCCGGGUCACUUCAUGUACUCAUCCCUGCAUCCUCACACCUGAGCCAGGUGGACAGCCACGUCCAGGAAGUCGACCCAGGAGUCUGUGCCCGGCGUGCUUCUGACGAGAACCCAGGGAACUCUACCAGGAGCCACGUGCCAAGUCCUUUUUAUUUGUGAUUUCAAGACAGGGUCUUGCUGACUUGCUGAAGCUGGCCUUGAACUUGCCAUCCUCCUGCCUCAGCCUCCUGAGUACCUGGGCUCUUGCUGCCUCGUUGGUGAUGGAAGAAGCUUCUGGAUGCACCUUAUUCUGCUCUUCUGGUCGAAGGCAUGAAGAAACCCGGCCUCACCCAGGACACUAGAGAAGGUGGUGUCCUGAGGUCAGUUGCAUGGAAGAGCUGAACCAUCCCAGGGAACUUUCCAUAUUUGAUGACGUCAGUCCAUCCAUCUGCCUUGCACUUUGAAUGGAUCUUUGGCCUUAAAUAGUCAGUUUUGCAACCUUGCACUGGGUUCACAGAGCUCGGCAGAUUCUCCAAGUGUUGACAUCUACCACAAACCCCACACGUCCGUUUUCACUGGUCGGGUCAGAACGCAGUCUGUACUGGGAAGAUGUCAAGUUCACCAUGAUGAAUAGGUUUUCUAUUUUUCCUGGAAAGCUGUAUUUUUUUUUUCCUAUUAGAAACAUUGUCGGCUGCUUUUCUUAAAGUCAUAUGCUUACCUAUGUUUGUUUUCAGGAAAAUGUUUUCUGAUCGGUCAUCUGAACAAUCAUGGGGACCUGUUGGUCCUUCUCUCAGGUACUAUAAAAAAUGCUGUUCCUUGAAAAUGGUAGUUGAGUCAGUGCACAACUCAGGUAACUGUGUCGUUGCUUUUUCCUAAGACGGCUAUUGUUUUCUGUAUCCAGCAGAGUGACUUAUGAGAACUUUCUAUUUCCAAACAGAAUAUUGAAAAGAUAUGCACUGGAGGGUCAAGAUUUGAUAAAAUCAGAAAGUUUAAUUCCUUUAUCAAAAACUUUCUUCAAUAAAGCUGACUUUAUUUUUUAAAACAUUGAGGGUUUGGUAUGAAGAAGAAUACGAUGAAAAUCUGUAGUUUGUGCUGUGCCCUCCGCCAUGCUGUUCUCCUGAACCAGGGGCCCAGAGCAGCGAGUCGGCCUUGGACUGGACCUCUGAUGCUGUGAGACCCAAAUACACACCCUUCCUUGAAAUCAUUCUCCUGAGGUCUUUUGAUCACAGGGUGUAAAUGCUUCUCAGAGCUUUCCACCAGCAGCAGGAGAUGAGUGUGGCUCAUGAGUACAUUUUUCCCCAGGAAGGUCCCCCUCCGUGGAGACUUGGGGAUAGACCACGUUUGCACACACACAUCAGUCGAGGUGGGCUGGACAAUACCCAAGUGCUCUCCACUCCAAGUGCCUCAGGUCUUUCCAAGAGUCCCGAGUCCUGUGUCUGCCGUGAGUCUGACCCACACACAGCACGCAGCACUUCCAGACUCUCUAGAACAGGAUUCCUUUUCCUAGCCCAGACUUGAAAUGUGAGUGGGAAACGAUGACUGAGCAGUUGCGUCUAAGUGUGUAGGAAAGACAGUGGAAGUCCGGGAGCUGGUCAGUCUCUCUCCCGCAGCUGGCCAGAGGCCGGGACAUGUCUCUGUCCACUGAGAGGGAGGCACCUCGGGCUUAGCAUGCCGUCAUGUGGCUCGGCAUGCCAGUUGCCGAGGGCCUAAGGGAUGGUCUGACCUCCUAAGUGGGAGCAAGAAAGUGAGGUCACUGUAAAGCGGGAAGGGCCCCUCACACACAGGACACCCUUUCUGUCACGGUCUGUUUUUUUGGUACCAGGGAUUGAACAUGGGGGCACUUAACCACUGAGCCCCAUCCCCAGCCCUUUUAUUUUUAUUUUGAGAUAGGGUCUUGUUAAAUUGCUGAUGGCCUUGCUAAGUGGCUGAGGCUGGCCUUCGGCAUGUGAUCCUCCUGCCUCAGCCUCCUGAGCCACUGGAAUCAUAGGUGCACCACAGCCCCCAACCACACAGUCGC